rfam:Acidobacterium capsulatum ATCC 51196, complete genome.
GGCGGCAACAUCCCCGCCGGUUGGGCGCGCGAGCGCAGUGAACCGGCUGCAGCC